rnacentral:misc_RNA from 1 species
UCUACAGAAAAUAUCAGAUGUAGAGGAUUAUGAAUCAGAUCUCUCCAAAUGCGGUUUCCAAUAGCAGGCAUAAUGGAACUCUUUCGCAUGAAUCUGUCUCUAUGCAUCACCCUCCUCAGAUGCACCUGAAUUUUAAAUGCAUUUCCAACAGCAGACAGAAUGGGACUCCACACACCUAGAACCCCAUGAGGUCUCUGAGCUGGCGCUGUCUCUAAGGACACCUUCAGCCUUAUUUCUGAAACAUCUAUUAACUCUAUACGUAUCUCAGGAUCAACCUGAGUUACAGUAGAACUCUGGGGGACACGAUCAAGCUGGAGUUUGUUGUAGAAAUCCACAAAUGCCCAGAUAAUAGGUUCAUGGAUAUUAAGCCUCCAAACCUUUUCAGUAACCCGUAUGUAUACAUAUGGGUAGACUUGGAUGCCAUCAGUGUUCUCGUUGUGUUUAGUAAUAGUCAUCUUAAAAACUGGGUGAUGUAUAUCUGUGGUCUGCUCAGGUGCCAACAGCACUGGCAUCAAGGUUAAAGGAAGCUGAUUGUCAAGCUGCAAAUAACCAAGUAUGACCUUGAAUCUGCUUGUUGUCCCACCAUCAUAGCCAGUCGAGUAUGAUAAAAAAACCCUUUCCAAGUACAAGUAACAGAGCUCUUUUGGUCUGUGAUCCACAACAGAAAUCCCAACCACUCCCAGCUCAACUAUGAGCUCUAAAGGUGUGGUGUCAUUCAGCAUCUCAUUCUGCCUGUGAGAAUCCCCCCAAUAACCAGCGGCUGUCAUAGAUGUGCUUUCCCCAUGUGAAAUCAAACCCCUGUUAACUGUAAACCUAGCAACCUUGAUAUCUCCCAUUUCCGUGACAUAUAAUUGCAAUCUUGUUUCACCAUCCUCUGCAGAAGAUAUCCCAGUCCUUUCCAAAUCAAAUUUCCAAGCAUCAAUUUUACCAUCACUAUCUAUCUUGGCAUCAAUGAAUUUUUGGCCAUAUGGAUCUUCCCACGAAAAAUUUGUUGUCGACAGAGGUUCCAAUACAAACCAUGCAUCUUCACCAAAUCCUGAUUGGCGAAUGCUUAUUGUCUUGCUACUUGUUC